AUACCUUUCUCGGCCUUUUGGCUAAGAUCAAGUGUAGUAUCUGUUCUUAUCAGUUUAAUAUCUGAUAUGUGGGCCAUGCGCCCACCUCGAUAUUAAAUUAAUUUUUUGUGGGGGAGGGCCCAUCCACGGUAGCUUGCUACCGGGGCCUUCGCGCGUCGCCCUUGCGUUGCACUACUGUUUGGGCCUGGCGCACCCCUACCAAUUCUUAACAGCAAAAUGUUUUUAAUUUAUUACUUGCUUGCUGGGCUUGCGUACAAAGGAAGAAUGGUGAAAAUUAUUCUUCAAUUUUUUUUUUUUGUAUAAAUCUGGAAAGGCCCAUUUUUGGAAUCUGAAUAGAAAAAUUAUUUAUACACAAGAUCAAAACUAUAGCGAUAAUUCAUUUUCCUCUUAACUUCCUCUCGAUAAUGUGUGAAACAGUUGGCAAUGACAUAAUAAAAUAGUAAGAAAUAAAAAUACAGUCAGAGGCUACAAUAUUCAGAGAAUCGGAUUUAUAUGCAAACCUCCUAUGGUUGUCAAGUUACGGGCUAAGAGGUAUAGGUAGGAACGCAAAUGGGGCGGGUCCGGAGGCUGGAGUCCCCUCUCGCGUCUCUCAUGUCCCUUCCCAAGUAUCUCCCACCCCGAAUAUGUGAUGGGUUAAGAAAUAUAUCCCAUAAUUCGUUCCGCCUCAUAAUCCAUUUUCUAUCGGCGCUCCGAAUCUUCUCUGCCAAUUAAUAUUUUUUUAAAAAAAUUAUAAUAUUAUUAAUAUUUUAUAAAAUAUAAAUUAAUAUUUUUUUAAUAAUAAUUAUAAUAUUACUAAGUUAUGUAUAUAAUAUUAAUAAUAUCAAUUAUAAAAAGCAAAAUUCAAGUUUUAGACACAUGAGAAAUGAGAGCACCAACUUAUUUGUAUUUUGGACUUUUUUUGUAAAUAUAUUAUUUUUUAGGAAUAUUUUUAAAAUAUAAAUAAUUUUUGGAGUGGAUUCCGAGUGAAUCAUGGCACUGCAGAUUCGGGCCGGGGCAAAUUUUUUUUCGUUUCCUACCCCAAAUCUGUUUCGGACCAUAAAAAUUACUCCGUUUUCUGUCCCGAAUCCGUUUAUUUAUUUCUGUUUAUUGCCCCAUUCGGGAAGGAUCGGGACGGACGCUCUACCAACCAGGAUCUGUUUGCAUUGCCAAUAGAGCGGAGAGCUGGUAGUCACACUUAGGAAAACCAUAAUGCAACCAGACAACCUUAAAUGAACCCAGGACACUGUUGGUUCAAUACGGUAAUAUAAUAUUGGAUUAUAGUAUAUGUAGGAUUACUAGAGUUGGUUCGUUUUAAAAUUCGGUAAUCAAGACAAUAAAGUGUAUUUUAUUCCAAAAUUAUCAUUUAUGAUCAUAUUUAAUAUUAUUUUUUAAUAAACUUAAAUUAAUAUAAUUUGUACUUGAUUAAUUUUAUUAAUAAGCAAAUAUAAGUAGAGGUGGAACUGGGCCCGGGCCUAAACAAGGCCCGGCCCGAUGGGCCAUGUUUGGGCCGGACUUUGGGUAUUAAAAAUAUAACUUGUGGUUCGGGCCGGGUUUAAAAAUUUUGGCCCGAAAAAAUUUAGGCCUAUUUGGGCAUGUCCAAGCCCGGCCCGAGCCCGACCCAAAAGCCCAAUAUAUUAAUUAUCCAAAUAAAAUAUUUAAUUAUAUANGUUCGGGCCGGUCUUACAAAUUUUGGCCCGAAAAAAUUUUGGGCUUAUUUGGGCAUGUCCAAGCCCGGCCCGAGCCAGACCCAUAAGCCCGAUAUAUUAAUUAUCAAAAUAAAAUAUUUAUAUAUAUAUAUAUAUUAUUUAUCUAUUAAAAGAAAUAAAUGGUAUAGUAUAUCAUAUAUAGUAUAUAUUGUUAUUAAUGAUAUGUACUUAUAUAUAUGAGGAUAUAUUAUAUAUCAACAAAAUAUUUAGUUUUAUAUUAGGAUAUAUUUGUUAUUAGAUAUUAAUUUCUUUGAUGUGAUAAAACUAAAAAUAGGUAUUUUAUUUUAAUUUUAUACAAAUAAAAGUAUUUAUGUAUUAUAUGAUACAUGCAUAAAAUGGGCCUCCACAAAGCCCGCUGGGUAUUGGGCAUUGGGCUUGGGCUUAGGCCGGGCCAUCAUUUUCAAAAAAAUUAGGUAAACGCCCGACCCAAAGCCCAACAUUUUUAUUUGGGCCGGGUUUGGGCAUAGUAUUACCCUACCCAAAUCCGGCCCUGUUCCACCCCUAAAUAUAAGACAUAAAUAAAAAAACCGCACAUGAAAACAAUUUAUAAAGCCAAAUUGGUUUUAACCCAUAGAAGAAUAAAUUAAAAAAUAUCAUAUUACAUAAUAAUAUGAUCAUACAAGAACAAGUACAUUUUAGUUUAAAAAACUAAAAUUUUAUUUAUAAGCAAUAUCAUUAACCAAAUAUCUUAAGAAAAUCUCGCUCCAGCCCAGCUCAUUAAAAGACCCAUUUUUCUUAAAAGAUCCACCCCAUGUACAAAAGCCCACCAUUUCAAUCUGAUUCCUUUUAUUGUUUCUUGUCUCGGGUAGUGCCGAAUUCCCAUUUUUAUCAACUUUUUGACCCCAAUUCCUCAAACUAGGAUGAGGGCCUUCUUUAUAUAUAUAUANAGAUAUCCAAAUCAAUUGAAUUUUUAUUAGAAAAUUCUUUAAACUAUUGAAAACAAGAUCUAUACUCUUGAUCUUGAUUACAAGACUCCUAUCAUCAUUUUUUAAAAAAUAUUCAUUUUUAGCCGUUCAUUUUUAUGUCCACUCAAUGGAUAAGAGAACAAUAUCGAAAAUAUAUGAAAUUUGAUUUCUAAAUACUUCAAAUGGUAUAGAUCAUGUUCAACGAUGCCGAUCGUCGAUUUGGAGGCUCCAUUAUCGAAAAUAAAUGGGUGGCAAAAGUGCCAGUUUGCUAUCGAUAGUAUUCUAGCUCAACUCUAUAUAUAUAUAUAUAUAUAUUGAGAGAUUAGGUAGCACGCUACCCGCUUCGUUUAUUUUAUUUAGAAAUAAACUUAGCUAGAAAUAUGAAUCAACUAGGAUUUGAACUUGGAACCUCCAGUACCAACCACCAAGCUCUUUGCCACUUGCUCUAGGGACGGUCAGUAUGAGGGCCUUCUUUAUAGAUCUUUGGAUUUGGCGAUUUGGGCAAAAUUUGUUGUUUUUGUGUUCUCUUGGGUAUUUUUACAAACACCUAAUGUGCAAGGAUCUGCUGUUUUGAUGGAAUUUAAUAAUUUAGGGGUGUAAUGUGAGUCGUGCUGUGCCCCGUGCGGAUUCAGCCUAGGGUUGGCUCGGUUACAAAUCCUGGCCAACCCGUGCCAGCCCGCUUUCUCAGAGAAGAAGGCCUAGCCCGGCCGCUUGGACUGCCCGGCACGUGCUAUGCCGGGCCAAGCCGGGCUUCGUGCUAGCCCAGUAAAAAGUUUUUUUUUUAAUUUCUUCCCAACCGUCUUUUGUUAAAUUUUUUUUUAAUUUUUUUUUAGUAAAAAGAGAUAACUAAUUUUUAAAUUAUACCUUCUCGAUUUUUUUUUAUUUACACAAUUAUACCCAAAUUUUUUUUAAACUCUUGUAAUAAUUUUAUAAAUUUUAAAAAAAGCUAAAAUACUAACCAUAAAUUUAACAUUUUUAAUAUCAUUAAUUUUUAAUAUUAUAUAAAAUUUAAAACAUAGAGAUCAAUAAUUUUAACUUUUCAAAUAUAUUAGAUGUUUUAAUAUAAAUUUUUUAAAUUAGGUUUCGUUUAGGAUUGUGGGAAAAUUGUACUACAUGCGGUGAGAAAGUACGAUGAAAAAAUAUUCUAUUUGUUUCCGUGCGUAAUAUUGCAUUCUGCAUAUGGCAAUGAGUCGGUUAUGAUAUAUUUUUUGCGGCCCCACUAGAGAACGCAGAAGCAUAUUCUUAAAUGCUUUAUCCCGACUCAAUUUUAUCUAAUAAUAUUAUAUGGACUUUAAUACAAAACUAAGCCUUACAUUUCUGUGAUCCAAUAACCAACUUUAAUAUAAAAUUUUUAAUAUAAGAUUAAAUAUUUUGUUGAGAUUGAAACUUUUGUUAAAAAAAAAGUUGUUGAAAAGAUUAAAAAAAUUUGCAAAGCUAACUUGAGGAAAAAAAAUUUUAGAUUGAAAGUUUGAGAGUAGGAAGAAUUAGUGUUUGGGGAAGAAAUGAACGAAGAGUUGUUUGUUGAAAUGAAUUUGAAAAUUUGUAAAAGCAUUUAUAGAUGUAAAAAAAUUUUAAAUUUUUUUUAAAAAAUAGAAAAUAUUUUUGACCAAAAUGUCCUAUCUAACGGUCAAAAUUUUGAAUGCUAGUAAAGGCAUUAUGGUCAUUUUCAGCAAAAAGAUGUCUUUUUUAAUAUUUUUAUCUUUUUUUCAAAAAAAAAUAAUUUUCAUAUAUAUAUAUAUAUAGGCAGGACUGCUGUGCUCUCAGGAGCCGUUUUCGAUGAUGGAAUGUCCAAAUCGACGAUCAGCUCUGUUAGACUUGAUCUAACGUAUUUGAAGAUUCUAGAAAAUAAUUUUUUGCGAUUUUUCGAUAUCAUUUACUUAGCAAUCGAAAGGAUUCAAAAUCAAUAAUUUUUAACGGCUGAAAAUAAAAAUCCUAUAAAACGUGGUGAUAUAGCACUAAAAUUUUCGAUCAGAAAUAUUGAUCUUGUUAUAGAUAGUAUAAAGAAUUUUGUAUCAAAAUUUCAUCUGAUUUGAAUACUUUUACACCGUUAAACUUGAAAACGGUAGAUAUCAACCAUUAAAAAUUAUUGAUUUUGAAUCCUUUCGAUCACUAGGUAAAUGAUAUCAAAAAAUCGCAAAAAUUAUUUUCUAGAAUCUUCAAAUACGCUAGAUCAAGUCUAACGGAGCCGAUCGUCGAUUUGGAAAUUCCAUCAUCGAAAACGGCUCAGGAGCACAGCAGCCCUGCUAUAUAUAUAUAUAUAUAUAUAUAUAUAUAUAUAUAUAUAUAUAUAUAGAGAGAGAGAGAGAGAGAGAGAGAGAGAGAGAGAGAGGGAGAGAGAGAGUUGAGCCGGAAUGUUACCAAUAGCAAACUGGUUUUAUUGCCAUCCAUUUGUUUUCCAUAAUAGAGCCUCUAAAUCGAUGAUCGGCACCGUUGAACAUAAUCUAUACCACUUGAAGUAUUUAGAAAUUAAAUUUCAUAUUUUUCUGAUAUUAUUUUUUGUCCAUCAAGUGAACACAAAAAUGAAUGGCUGAAAUAAAUAUCUUUUAAAAAGUGAUGAUAGGAGUCUUCUAAUCAAGAUCAAGAAUAUAAAUCUUGUUCUAAAUAGUUUAAACAAUUUUCUAACCAAAAUUCAAUUAAUUUGGAUAUCUUUAUACCGUUAAAUGAGAAAACAUCUUAGAUCGACAACUAAAAUUAUAAAUUUUGAGACCUUUUAAUAAUCUGACCAAUAAUGUCGAAAAAAUUAGAAAUUUGGUUUCUAGAUUUUUUAAGUGGUAUAGACCAUAUUCAAUGGUACCGGUCGUCAAUUUGAAGGCUUCAUCAUCAAAAUAAAUAGAUAGCAACGGAACUCAUUUGUUACUAAUAGCAUUCAAGCUCAACUCUCUAUCUCUUUCUCUAUAUAUAUAUACUAGUUGUAAUGCACGUGCGAUGCACGUCAUAUUUAAUUAAAUUAAGUUUAUAUUUAUAUUUUAAAUUUAAAUAAUUAUUGGUGGUAUAUAUCUAUUUAUCAAUUAAAUUUUUUUUAACUUUAAUUUUUUUAAUGUGUAUCCAAAUUUAUAUAUAUGAAAAUUGGAUUUUUGAAAAUCUGAUUACUGUUAUUCAAAUUACUGUUAUUCAGUAAAAAUCAGUAUAUGAAAAUCGGAUUUUUUUUUUUUUUUCGAUGGUCAGGAUUGAAAACCGUAAUUCAGUAAGUAUCAUUGUUUUGAAACCAGGUUUUCUUUUUUUCUUUUUAAUAGAAGUGGAGAUUUAAAAAAGAAGGUACAAUGAAGUAGAUAUGGUUAAUAGGAGGGUGGUCCACUUUGACCUGGUGCACCAGGUCAAAGUAUGAAUUCAAGCCAGGUAUUUUAGUCCCAUAUCGACUGCAGCGAAGAACGGAAGAGGCAAGGAGAGUACAAGAGGAGGCCUCGGUGCGUGAUUUAAACUCAUACCUUUCUCGGCCUUUUGGCUAAGAUCAAGUGUAGUAUCUGUUCUUAUCAGUUUAAUAUCUGAUACGUGAGCCAUGUGCUCACCUCGAUAUUAAAUUAAUUUUUUGUGUGGGAGGGCCCAUCCACGGUAGCUUGCUACCGGGGCCCUCGCGCGUCGCCCUUGCGUUGCACUACUGCUCGGGCCUGGCGCACCCCUACCAAGUCUAAACGCUCAAAUAUUUUUAGUUCAUUCACUAAGCUUAAACAUUAUUUUUCAAAUAGUUUUUUUUGUAUAAAAAACAUAAUUUCUGUAGUUUUUUGUCUUUGCCUUUUUAUUAAUCUGAAUAGAACAACUACUUAGUUUUUCGUGAAUUUUUUUAAAACCAAACACUCUCUGAAAGCUUUUUUGAGUUUUGAGAUCUUUGCUAAGGAAUUGUUUGAUUUCUAAAAAAAUAUAUAAAAAAAAUUUAUUUAAAAAUAAUAUUUUUUUUAGAUUUCACUGUUCGGUUUCAAGAAAAACUUUCUUUUUUGAAAAUUUUUUAUAUUUCAUGUAAAAUUAGUAUUUUUAUUUUUCAAAAGAAAAUCAGAAAAUCAAAAAAAUUAUUUUCAUAAAGUUUAAUUUCUUAC
rnacentral:lncRNA from 1 species